rnacentral:rRNA from 1 species
AUGCAUGUGGAUCAUGUUGAAAAUAUUUUAUGUGAUAGCUAUUAUGUUGAAUUUGCUUAUGAUCCUACAUGUAAUUAUUAUGAGAGAAAUAUGGUGGUAGAAAUUUUCAUGUCACUAGCUAAAUUACCUCUCGUUAUGUUGAGAUUGCUAUUGUUUCUUUCCGCCUCCUUGCAUAUGCAAGUUUUUGCUUGCCUUGAUAAUUUGUUUCCCUAUAAGAUGCCUAUGCAUAAGAAGUAUGUUAGACUUAGAUGUGUUUUUCACCUGUUUUAUGAUGCUCUCUUUGUGCUUCAAUUCUUGUCUUUCAUGUGA